GGAUAAGCAGGUGCAGUUUUAUUGUAAGAAAAGCAGACAGCAAGCCGUUUAAAUGAACACGGCUGCACUGAGAUUGUCCUUUUUAAUAACAUGUGCCGCUGAUAACUUUAUGAGCCUUUCUUGUAUUUUAGAAUUGCUGGCUGGAGAUCAAGACAGUUUCUUGGAUGCCUUUCAGAGGAGAGAAAAGUGCAGCUAAUCAACUAUAAGUCCCUGACCCUAGGAGACUAUGUUUCUGUGGCAAUAAGAAGAUAGUGAACCUCCCAGCGAUUCUGCAAGAAAUUCGCAAUCCAACAUGUCAGGCAGAGGAACAAAAAAACAAGUGAUAGAAGUUGUCACAAAGGUUUUUAUUAAAACAGACUUUUACCAUGGGUCGCCACUGGAAAGCUAUGCACGAACUGCUGUCAUGUGCUGGUUACUAUAAUGGGCAUCUGAAAUAUCUACCUGCUCAUGUUCACCAAAUACUUGCAUUGUAAUUACAAAGGGCUACUUAGGGGCCAUGCAUUGCUGGCAGAGUUCAUCCAACCCAGCUGCCAGAAACACACGUCUGCCGUGUUAUGUUACAUACAGUGAGAAUGUGUUAAUACUUAAUGUAGCUGGUGUUUGCAUGGUUUCAUAUACUAGUAUUUCCUUGUGUAUACUAUGCUGCUUGAACACAAAUGUAAUGAGUGGUUGAAUAUACUGUAG